rnacentral:rRNA from 1 species
UGGGGAAUAUUGGGCAAUGGACGCAAGUCUGACCCAGCAACGCCGCGUGAAGGAAGAAGGCUUUCGGGUUGUAAACUUCUUUUGUCAGGGAAGAGCAGAAGACGGUACCUGACGAAUAAGCCACGGCUAACUACGUGCCAGCAGCCGCGGUAAUACGUAGGUGGCAAGCGUUGUCCGGAUUUACUGGGUGUAAAGGGCGUGUAGCCGGGCCGACAAGUCAGAUGUGAAAUCCGCGGGCUUAACCCGCGAACUGCAUUUGAAACUGUUGGUCUUGAGUAUCGGAGAGGUAAUCGGAAUUCCUAGUGUAGCGGUGAAAUGCGUAGAUAUUAGGAAGAACACCAGUGGCGAAGGCGGAUUACUGGACGACAACUGACGGUGAGGCGCGAAAGCGUGGGGAGCAAACAGGA